rnacentral:sRNA from 1 species
UAACUUAUCAUUGCGUUGAGUUCGUGUCC